UACGGGGGGUGCAAGCGUUAAUCGGAAUUACUGGGCGUAAAGGGAGCGUAGGUGGUUUAAUAAGGUAGCUGUGAAAGACCUGGGCUUAACCUGGGAAAGUCAGCUAAGACUGUUAGACUAGAGUCGAGGAGAGGGUAGUGGAAUUUCCGCUGUAGCGGUGAAAUGCGUAGAGAUCGGAAGGAACACCGGUUGCGAAGGCGGCUGCCUGGCCUAAGACUGACACUGAGGCACGAAAGCGUCGGGAGCAAACAGG
rnacentral:rRNA from 1 species